rnacentral:lncRNA from 1 species
CUGGUGAUGUCUUAUUGAUAUCCAGUUUAGAAACAACGUCAUUAUCUUGUUUACACGGAGGUCCUUGAUGGACAGUAACUUUACAGGAAUUACACAUGUGACCAUCACAAUCCUCACAUUUUCAUUUAAUAUCUGGUCCUUUAAAAAAUUGGUAUGACACUUGCACUUUGGCUUUCCUUAUAUUUGUGGAUCUGUCUGCUGUUGCCAUUU